UACGUAGGGUGCGCGCGUUAAUCGGAAUUACUGGGCGUAAAGCGUGCGCAGGCGGUUUUGCAAGCCGGAUGUGAAAUCCCCGGGCUCAACCUGGGAAUGGCAUUCGGGACUGCAAGGCUGGAGUGCGGCAGAGGAGACUGGAAUUCCUGGUGUAGCAGUGAAAUGCGUAGAUAUCAGGAGGAAUACCGAUGGCGAAGGCAGGUCUCUGGGCUGACACUGACGCUCAUGCACGAAAGCGUGGGGAGCAAACAGG
rnacentral:rRNA from 1 species